AAGAAAUAGAAACAAUAAUGGAAUUUUCGUAAUUUACAAAUCACAACUGUAGAAGAAAGAAUCUGCAAGUAUUCCUCCUGACAACCCACAGAAGAAAUAGAAACAAUAAUUGAAUUGACACAAAUUGCAAAUCACAACUUCAGAAAAAAAGAAACAUGAAGGACAAUUUAAAGAUAGAAGGGUGUAGCUUUAAUAAUUCUCAUGUGGCACCAAUGAGACAAGAAAUUCCAACCAGGAAACAAAAAAGAUCAAGACCAGUAUAUUAUAAAUAUGGGAGGAAUUAUAAGUUAUGGAAAUAACUGUUCCAGGGAAAAGAAUCUCCAAAUCAGGUUCACUGUCCUACAGCAUUGGGGCUUGACUCUUGAAGGAAAGAAAAAUAACUGCAAGUUAAUUAUAUCACAGAAACAGCACCUGGGCAGGGGUUAAAUCAAAUG
rnacentral:misc_RNA from 1 species